UACGGAGGGUGCAAGCGUUAAUCGGAAUGACUGGGCGUAAAGGGUGCGUAGGUGGAUGACUAAGUUAUAGGUGAAAUCACUGGGCUCAACCUGGUGUGGAAUUAUAAUACUGGUUGUCUAGAGUAUAGGAGAGGGUAGUGGAAUUUCCGGUGUAGCGGUGAAAUGCGUAGAGAUCGGAAGGAACACCAGUUGCGAAGGCGGCUACCUGGCCUGGUACUGACACUGAGGCACGAAAGCGUGGGGAGCAAACAGG
rnacentral:rRNA from 1 species